rnacentral:rRNA from 1 species
GUGUCAGCAGCCGCGGUAAUACGGAGGAUGCAAGCGUUAUCCGGAAUCAUUGGGUUUAAAGGGUCCGUAGGCGGCCAAAUAAGUCAGUGGUGAAAGCCCAUCGCUCAACGAUGGAACGGCCAUUGAUACUGUUUGGCUUGAAUUAUUAGGAAGUAACUAGAAUAUGUAGUGUAGCGGUGAAAUGCUUAGAGAUUACAUGGAAUACCAAUUGCGAAGGCAGGUUACUACUAAUAUAUUGACGCUGAUGGACGAAAGCGUGGGGAGCGAACAGGAUUAGAAACCCCGGUAGUCC